rnacentral:misc_RNA from 1 species
GAUGAAGAACGUAGCAAAAUGCGAUAAGUAAUGUGAAUUGCAGAAUUCAGUGAAUCAUCGAAUCUUUGAACGCACAUUGCGCCCGCCAGUAUUCUGGCGGGCAUGCCUGUUCGAGCGUCAUUUCAACCCUCAAGCACAGCUUGGUGUUGGGACUCGCGUUAAUUCGCGUUCCCCAAAUUGAUUGGCGGUCACGUCGAGCUUCCAUAGCGUAGUAGUAAAACCCUCGUUACUGGUAAUCGUCGCGGCCGCGCCGUUAAACCCCAACUUCUGAAUGUUGACCUCGGAUCAGGUAGGAAUACCCGCUGAACUUAAGCAUAUCAAUAAGCGGAGGA